ACUUUUUUAUAAAUUGUUUUUUUUUAAAUGUUUUUUUCGAAUUGUUUUUAUUUAUUUUUGUUCAAAUUUUUUUUUGAAAAACGAAAAUUAUGUUUGAAACUAUAUUUUUAAAAAAUUUAUAUAUUUUUUAAGUAUUUAUUUAUAUAUUUAUUAGAAUCCUAAAUUUUACAUUCCAAAAACCCUACCCCACCCCUCAACUCAAAACCCUAAGUCUAGAUUAGUUAACCCUAAAGGUAUAAUUGUCUUUUACCCUUCAUUAAAAAUUAGGGUAAAAAUAUUAGUGUAAACAUGAAAAGUGGUACUAUGAAUGUGUUAUUUGUGGUAAUUUCUCAUUACAUAGGGGGUUGUUUCUUUUUAUCACAAAGAUACUUUCAUAAAUACCAUAAGAUUUCCAAACAUUAUAUGAAUACAUUCUAAAACUACAUGUAAGAAGGGUUUUUAAUGUUUAGAAAUAUUUCAUGCAAACAACUUGUUGUAAUUCUGGUCUGGAACAUCUUGUUCUUUUGGUAUUUUCUUUUUAUAUGGUUCACGAAUACACAUCAACAUAUCCAAACACUUCAAAUAAUAUCCAGUUUUGUGGCCAGCUAUAGUUGGCAUAUAGGAGAACAAUAGCAAGCUACCCAUCUUGGAUAUAGGACACUCGACCCAUCAAUCUUACCACUAUACAAGCGCAACUUUGUUAAAUGAGAAGUCUGGCAUUGUACAGAAGAUAUAUUAACAAU
rnacentral:lncRNA from 1 species